rnacentral:pre_miRNA from 1 species
CGGUGGGAUGGCAUACGCGGUGCGGCGAUUUGCGGAAAUCGCCGCACCGUGUAUGCCAUCCCACCGU